GAUGAACGCUGGCGGCGUGCCUAAUACAUGCAAGUCGAGCGAACAGACCAUGCUCUUGCUCCUCUCACGUUUGCGGCGCACGUGUGUGUCACACCUGUAUAACCUACCUAUCUUUCUGGUAUCACUUCGGGACUCCGGCUCUAAUCCCGUAUAAUCUAUUGAUCCGCAUUGUUCAUUAGUGAAUUACGGUUUUUCUGUCUCUUAUAGAUGGUUCCGCGCCGCAUUAGCUAGUUGGUAAGGUAACGGCUUACCAAGGCAACGAUGCGUAGACGACAUGAGAGGGGGAUCGGCGACACGGGAACGGAGACACGGACAAGAGUACUACGGGAGGGAGCAGAAGGGAAUGUGAGGCAAUGGGGGAAAGGAUGACGGAGCAAGGGCGCGUGAGAGAAGAAGGUGUUGGGAGCGUAAAACUCUGUUAUGAGGGAAGAAAAAAAGUGUAAGAAAAUAAGGAGGGAGUGACGGUAACUAAAAAGAAAGCAACGGCUAACUACGUG
rnacentral:rRNA from 1 species